rnacentral:rRNA from 1 species
UGCCAGCCGCCGCGGUAAUACGAAGGGACCUAGCGUAGUUCGGAAUUAUUGGGUUUAAAGGGUGCGUAGGCGGAAAUUUAAGUCAGUGGUGAAAGCCUGCAGCUUAACUGUAGAAUUGCCAUUGAUACUGGAUUUCUUGAAUCUAAUAGAAGUAGGCGGAAUAUGACAUGUAGCGGUGAAAUGCUUAGAUAUGUCAUAGAACACCGAUAGCGAAGGCAGCUUACUAUGUUAGUAUUGACGCUAAUGCACGAAAGCGUGGGGAGCUAACAGGAUUAGAUA